rnacentral:rRNA from 1 species
UACGGGGGGGGCAAGCGUUGUUCGGAAUUACUGGGCGUAAAGGGCUCGUAGGUGGCCAACUAAGUCAGACGUGAAAUCCCUCGGCUUAACCGGGGAACUGCGUCUGAUACUGGAUGGCUUGAGAUUGGGAGAGGGAUGCGGAAUUCCAGGUGUAGCGGUGAAAUGCGUAGAUAUCUGGAGGAACACCGGUGGCGAAGGCGACUUUCUGGACUGUAACUGACGCUGAGGCUCGAAAGCGUGGGGAGCGAACAGG